rnacentral:lncRNA from 1 species
CACUGGUAGCAGAACCAGUGUUCCCAAGUUUAUGUCAUGAACUAGCAACCACCAGCUAUGAAACAAUCUCUUGGGCUUUGGUUGCCAGGUGGGAAUGCUGAAGCACUCAGACUUUUGGACAGAAAAACAAGGACAGGAACAACAGAUUAUCACAAGUUCCCCAAUUCCCUAGUGAGAGGCAGCGAUUGUGAAAAGCACCCAGUCUCAAGGACAAAGAAACAACUGGUUUAUCAGGGAUUUGAAGUUCACACCAUACAGAUUUUUCUGUUGCUUGGUUAGAGUCACACCAAGGAUAUUGAUCUGAAAUUCUCUUUCAAAAAACCAAAACCAACCAACCAAACAACAACAACAAAAAUGCUGAGAUGAACUACAAGACCCAAGAGACUCACAAGGUGAAACUAAUGAAUGACAAUAAACAGGGUCAAUUGCUAAAGGAGAAGAAUCACUGUGGAUGAUGAACUGAUGGCUGUACUGUAAAUAAUAUACAAUUCAUAUAGUAGCAUCUUCAGACAAGUGAGAAACACACUAAACCUGAAAUCAAAUGAUGAAUCAAGAAGCAGAAAAAGAAAUGCAUCAAGCUAAAAAUUAAAUGACUCGCACAAAUGCAAUUUGGCAAUUGUUGAAGGACAGAUUUGGAGGAAUGUUCUCAAAUUAUGAAAGUUGUGUUGUUUAGAAAAGAAGUAGAAAAUCUCUCUGGGAAAUAUUUUCUAAAUAUUUCUUAUCUUUUCUGUGAAGAUCUAUGCUUGUAAAUCGAAUU